rnacentral:lncRNA from 1 species
UGUAGGGUUGAUGCGGGGCUUGGUAUCUUCCCUACCUUCAAUUUUCAAGUGUCUGCUAGGCUAGGGGCUUCCUCUCUCUCAGAAACCUAUGAUUAUCUUCAGUUGACUUGUAAAUUUCUACAAAGAUAUUUUUUGGCAAAAGGAUCAUGUUUUUAUCAUUUUCAUCAUUUUAAAUUUUAGUAUUUAAUAUGAUUGUUCUUAAUUCCUAAUGGCUUCCACUGUUUUCUAUUUAUUUCAUUUAGCAUUUUAAUUAAUAAAAACAACUAUUUAAGUUACUGGGCCUACAAUUCUGCUAUCAGUAAGUUCAGAGUUGAGGUUCUGCAUAGUUUAGUUUUGAGGCUGACUUACUCAGUUCUUGAGCUGUAUUCAUCAUCAGUAAAUAGUGUGUGCGGGGAAACCACUGGGGACACUUCUGCAAAGGGAUCUAAACGACUUAGUAGAAGAAGUCACUUCUUUACUUUCUCACCUCUUUACAUGUCCUGUGUUUGCAGUGUGACUCUUUUUUAAUAUGGUGCCACCAAAUGGACUCAGUGUAUUGAUGAUGUUCCUGCUGCUGUUCCCUGACCAUGGCCACUUCUAAAAGAAAGUGUUUAAUCGAGUUUACAGUUAUAGAAGAAAGCACAGAAUAUGCAUCACCUUUCCAAAAGGUGGCUCUGCCAGAGCCUGACAAAUACAGAGGAGGAAGCUCACAGCCAACCAUUGUACUAUUCUGAUUUUUUAAUACAUGUUCAUGGACAAAUACUCUCAUAAAAACACUCCCUCCCCACUCCAUCCCCACAGAUACUCGUGUACAUUCACCAUACACAUUGAAAGAAUGAAUAAAUAAAUUCACCUCCUGC